rnacentral:rRNA from 1 species
CCUACGGGUGGCAGCAGUGAGGAAUAUUGGUCAAUGGGCGCGAGCCUGAACCAGCCAAGUCGCGUGAGGGAAGACGGUCCUAUGGAUUGUAAACCUCUUUUGUCGGGGAGCAAAAGACGCCCCGCGUGGCGUUCCGAGAGUAACCGAAGAAAAAGCAUCGGCUAACGCCGUGCCAGCAGACGCGGUAAUACGGAGGAUGCGAUCGUUAUCCGGAUUUAUUGGGUUUAAAGGGUGCGCAGGCGGAAUAGCAAGUCAGCGGUAAAAUUGAGAGGCUCAACCCCUUCGAGCCGUUGAAAAUGGUUGUCUUGAGUGGGCGAGAAGUAUGCGGAAUGCGUGGUGUAGCGGUGAAAUGCAUAGAUAUCACGCAGAACUCCGAUUGCGAAGGCAGCAUACCGGCGCUCAACUGACGCUCAUGCACGAAAGUGUGGGUAUCGAACAGGAUUAGAUACCCCUGUAGUC